AACUAGAAUCGGCUGGGCCGCGCUAUGAAUUCUGGCAUAGGGUGGGCCACGAAGGAUACACCUGACCCAUCCUUCAAAGCUGUGGAAAGUAUUGUAUUGUUUUGAGAGCCUUUUUGUUGGUGGAGUAUUGAUUUUAUGUACAAUUCCAUGGGUAGACGCGAUCUGUAUGGUCAGACUUUGCAAAUGCACAGUAAGGAUCGGGGAGUCCGAUCCGUAACUUUUUUUUCUCGUUUUUUUCUACAUAAUAUUGAAAUGUUUCAUUAUUGCAAACAUUUUCUCUCAGGCGGAGAGAGGUCGUGGAGUGUCAGCCUAUGGUAUCUGAGGUCCAGGAGAGAUGACCUGCGCUGUUUUCCUCUGAGGAGAUAUCUGAAAAAUUUCAUCGGAUCACAAGCAAAGACCUCCUGGGGACCUUCAAUGCAUCCCUUGACAAAUUUGGGCCUGGCCUGCUGAAACUGUACUGGUCUAAGAAGGGAGUUCUUUGUGAGGAGAUGGAAGACCUCCUGGAUAAACUUGAUGAACAGACAUCCAACACUGUGUCCAACUUGCACUGAGAGGCCUGCCCAUUUUCCUCAAGGGAAGAUGCAACAGGUUUUCCUGAAGUGCUUAGACACUGACAUUUUGGAACCAGUGUUGAACGGUGCAUCAGUUGCCAUCCUCACCAUCCUACAAGAUGAUGAUGCCGAUAUGUCUGUGCGAGAACAUGCAGUUGUGUUGGAAGGGGACAUCGUGCUACAGAACAUUCCAGAUCUCUCUACUGCCCUGGCAUACCUCUUUGGCCUUCUGUAUGCCCUCAACAUUGAUCAUCCAAAGCAGAUGAGUUUUACCUUUGAAGCAAUUCAGGACAUCUUAUUUUGACCUGGUCGGACAAUAUGAAGGCGAAGUGGAUAAAUCAUUAUUCGAAAUGUAAAUUUUAGUCAGAUGAAUCUGUAUUGUUGACAAUAUAUGGUGAAAAUUUGUCUUGUAGUAUUGUAAAAAACUUGUUAUAGUGUUAGUUUCCUCCUCAUUGAUGGUAACAUUUCUAAUAACUUUUAACUUCCAUAGUUCAUCAUAGUAAGCCUGUGUAAAAUGUCAAUGUCUGGGUACAUAGGCAAUCGUUUGUAGCACUACCCUAUUUAAUGUGCAAUAGUAAUGUUCAGCUUUUAGAAGACGGUCAGGGUGUGUGUGUGUGAAUUAUUAAGUUGCUGGACACUUUUCUUUUUUGGUUCUGGACUCUGGAAUUUUAACGUCUCUGCUGGGGUGCUCAAAGCACCCAAAAGAAACUGGCAACACGUUUUUGUUUGUUUGUUAUUUCUUUUCUUUCUUUCUUUUUGUUUUUUUUUAACAGAAAUUCACCCUACUACCCAUGACAUUCUGAAAUGUACUGAAAAGACUGUUG